rnacentral:rRNA from 1 species
UACGGAGGGUGCGAGCGUUAAUCGGAAUAACUGGGCGUAAAGGGCACGCAGGCGGUCUUUUAAGUGAGAUGUGAAAUCCCCGGGCUUAACCUGGGAACAGCAUUUCAAACUGGGAGGCUAGAGUACUGUAGGGGGGGGUAGAAUUCCAGGUGUAGCGGUGAAAUGCGUAGAGAUGUGGAGGAAUACCGGUGGCGAAGGCAGCCCCUUGGGAAUAUACUGACGCUCAUGUGCGAAAGCGUGGGGAGCAAACAGG